rnacentral:rRNA from 1 species
UGGGGAAUAUUGGACAAUGGGCGCAAGCCUGAUCCAGCCAUGCCGCGUGAGUGAUGAAGGCCUUAGGGUUGUAAAGCUCUUUCGCCGACGAAGAUAAUGACGGUAGUCGGAGAAGAAGCCCCGGCUAACUUCGUGCCAGCAGCCGCGGUAAUACGAAGGGGGCUAGCGUUGUUCGGAAUCACUGGGCGCAAAGCGCACGUAGGCGGAUUGUUAAGUCAGGGGUGAAAGCCUGGAGCUCAACUCCAGAACUGCCCUUGAUACUGGCAAUCUCGAGUCCGGAAGAGGUAAGUGGAACUGCGAGUGUAGAGGUGAAAUUCGUAGAUAUUCGCAAGAACACCAGUGGCGAAGGCGGCUUACUGGUCCGGUACUGACGCUGAGGUGCGAAAGCGUGGGGAGCAAAACAGGAUUAGAUACCCUGGUAGUCCACGCCGUAAACGAUGGAGGCUAGCCGUUGGCGAGCAUGCUCGUCAGUGGCGCAGCUAACGCAUUAAGCCUCCCGCCUGGGGGAGUACGGUCGCAAGAUUAAAACUCAAAGGAAUUGACGGGGGUCAUGCUGUUUCCUG